rnacentral:rRNA from 1 species
UACGGGGGGGGCAAGCGUUGUUCGGAAUUACUGGGCGUAAAGGGCUCGUAGGUGGCCAACUAAGUCAGACGUGAAAUCCCUCGGCUUAACCGGGGAACUGCGUCUGAUACUGGAUGGCUUGAGUUCGGGAGAGGGAUGCGGAAUUCCAGGUGUAGCGGUGAAAUGCGUAGAUAUCAGGAGGAACACCAAUGGCGAAGGCAGCUCACUGGGACGGUAUUGACGCUGAGACGCGAAAGCGUGGGGAGCAAACAGG